rnacentral:rRNA from 1 species
ACAGUGGACGCGAGCAUCUAAUCUUUGUGGUCAAGUUACUAAGGGCACACGGUGGAUGCCUUGGCACCAGGAGCCGAUGAAGGACGUAGGAGGCUGCGAAAAGCCUCGGGGAGCUGCCAACCGAGCUGUGAUCCGGGGAUGUCCGAAUGGGGAAACCCGGCUGGAGUCAUGUCCAGUCACCCUCGCCUGAACACAUAGGGCGAGCGGAGGGAACGUGGGGAAGUGAAACAUCUCAGUACCCACAGGAAGAGAAAACAACAGUGAUUCCGCGAGUAGUGGCGAGCGAAAGCGGAAGAGGCCAAACCAUCAUUGCGUGAUAGCCGCCAGGCGUUGCAGUGGUGGGGUUGUGGGACCGUUCAGUCAGUGCUGGCGCGCUGGCAGGGAGUCAGAAACGAGCGUCGUAGUCGAAGGCCAUGCGAAAGGGCCGGCACAGAAGGUAACACCCCUGUAGACGAAACGACGUUCACUCCCGAGCGUGUUCCCAAGUAGCACGGAGCCCGAGAAAUUCCGUGUGAAUCCGGCGGGACCACCCGCUAAGCCUAAAUACUACCUGGUGACCGAUAGCGGACAAGUACCGUGAGGGAAAGGUGAAAAGUACCCCGGGAGGGGAGUGAAAUAGUACCUGAAACCGCGUGCCUACAAGCCGUAGGAGCCUAGGGGUCUUCGGACCUUGGUGACUGCGUGCCUUUUGAAGAAUGAGCCUGCGAGUUAGCGGUGUGUGGCGAGGUUAACCCGUGUGGGGUAGCCGUAGCGAAAGCGAGUCCGAAUAGGGCGAUUGAGUCGCACGCUCUAGACCCGAAGCGGAGUGAUCUACCCAUGGCCAGGGUGAAGCGCGGGUAAGACCGCGUGGAGGCCCGAACCCACCGGCGUUGAAAAGCCGGGGGAUGAGCUGUGGGUAGGGGUGAAAGGCCAAUCAAACUCCGUGAUAGCUGGUUCUCCCCGAAAUGCAUUUAGGUGCAGCGUCGCGUGUUUCUUACCGGAGGUAGAGCACUGGAUGGCCUAGGGGGCCUACAAGCUUACUGAAGUCAGCCAAACUCCGAAUGCCGGUAAGUGAGAGCGCGGCAGUGAGACUGCGGGGGAUAAGCUCCGUAGUCGAGAGGGAAACAGCCCAGACCACCAACUAAGGCCCCUAAGCGUGUGCUAAGUGGGAAAGGAUGUGGAGUCGCAGAGACAACCAGGAGGUUGGCUUAGAAGCAGCCACCCUUGAAAGAGUGCGUAAUAGCUCACUGGUCAAGUGAUUCCGCGCCGACAAUGUAGCGGGGCUCAAGCACACCGCCGAAGUUGUGGCAUUCACACUGAUAACCAGGCCCUUGUGGUCCAGGUGUGUGGAUGGGUAGGGGAGCGUCGUGUGGCGAGCGAAGCGGCGGGGUGACCCAGCCGUGGACGCCACACGAGUGAGAAUGCAGGCAUGAGUAGCGAAUGACGGGUGAGAAACCCGUCCGCCGAAUGACCAAGGGUUCCAGGGCCAGGCUAAUCCGCCCUGGGUAAGUCGGGACCUAAGGCGAGGCCGACAGGCGUAGUCGAUGGACAACGGGUUGAUAUUCCCGUACCGGCUGUAUCGCGCCCAUGCUGAACCCAGUGACGCUAAGCGCCCAAAGCGGAGCCGUCUUCGGAUGGCGAAGUGGCGGCCGCGACCCAAUCUGGUAGUAGGCAAGCGAUGGGGUGACGCAGGAGGGCAGUCCAACCGCGGCGAUGGUAGACCGCGGCCAAGGUUGUAGGGCGAGGUGUAGGCAAAUCCGCACCUCAUAUGCCUGAGAACUGAUGGGGAGCCGAUUCAGGUGAAGUGGAUGAUCCCAUGCUGCCAAGAAAAGCCUCUAGCGAGUGAUACGGCCGCCCGUACCCCAAACCGACACAGGUGGUCAGGUAGAGAAUACCAAGGCGAUCGAGUGAACCGUGGUUAAGGAACUCGGCAAAAUGCCCCCGUAACUUCGGGAGAAGGGGGGCCGCGGCUGGUGACGGGACUUGCUCCCGGAAGCUGGCUACGGCCGCAGAGACCAGGCUGAAGCGACUGUUUACUAAAAACACAGGUCCAUGCAAAGUCGCAAGACGACGUAUAUGGACUGACGCCUGCCCGGUGCUGGAACGUUAAGGGGACGGGUCAGCGACUUCGGUCGCGAAGCUCAGAACUUAAGCGCCAGUAAACGGCGGUGGUAACUAUAACCAUCCUAAGGUAGCGAAAUUCCUUGUCGGGUAAGUUCCGACCUGCACGAAUGGCGUAACGACUUCAGCGCUGUCUCAACCACGGACUCGGCGAAAUUGCACUACGAGUAAAGAUGCUCGUUACGCGCGGCAGGACGGAAAGACCCCGGGACCUUCACUAUAGCUUGGUAUUGGUGGUUGGUUCGGCUUGUGUAGGAUAGGUGGGAGACUGUGAAGCAUGGACGCCAGUUCAUGUGGAGUCGUCCUUGAAAUACCACUCUGGUCGUACUGGCUGUCUAACCUCGGUCCGUGAUCCGGAUCAGGGACAGUGCCUGGUGGGUAGUUUAACUGGGGCGGUUGCCUCCUAAAGAGUAACGGAGGCGCUCAAAGGUUCCCUCAGCCUGGUUGGCAAUCAGGUGUCGAGUGCAAGUGCACAAGGGAGCUUGACUGUGAGACCGACGGGUCGAGCAGGGACGAAAGUCGGAACUAGUGAUCCGGCGCAUGCAGGUGGAAGCGGCGUCGCUCAACGGAUAAAAGGUACCCCGGGGAUAACAGGCUGAUCUUGCCCAAGAGUCCAUAUCGACGGCAUGGUUUGGCACCUCGAUGUCGGCUCGUCGCAUCCUGGGGCUGGAGUAGGUCCCAAGGGUUGGGCUGUUCGCCCAUUAAAGCGGUACGCGAGCUGGGUUUAGAACGUCGUGAGACAGUUCGGUCCCUAUCCGCCGCGCGCGCAGGAGUCUUGAGGAGGGCUGUCCCUAGUACGAGAGGACCGGGACGGACGAACCUCUGGUGUGCCAGUUGUCCUGCCAAGGGCAUGGCUGGUUGGCUACGUUCGGAAGGGAUAACCGCUGAAAGCAUCUAAGCGGGAAGCUCGCUCCAAGAUGAGGACUCCCACAGGGUUAACCUGGUAAGGCCCCCAGCGAGAACACUGGGUUGAUAGGCCGGAGGUGGAAGCGCGGUAACGCGUGGAGCUGACCGGUACUAAUAGGCCGAGGACUUGCCCACAA